GCUUUCAUGGGUCAGAAGAAAUGAAAAAUGUGGAUCACACAGGCAAGCAGAAAUAACGUGAAAGGAAAAGCAGCCAGAGAUGGUGUCUGUGUGAAGACGCAUUGGAGAAAACGUGAGGGUUGAAGAAGCAAGCCGUGCGGACAUCUGGGAAGAGCGUUCCUGGCUGAGGAACAGCCAGCACAAAGGUC
rnacentral:lncRNA from 1 species